rnacentral:rRNA from 1 species
GAUGAACGCUGGCGGCGUGCCUAACACAUGCAAGUCGAACGAAGACAUACCGACGGAAUCCUUCGGGAGGAAGAUGGUAUGGACUGAGUGGCGGACGGGUGAGUAACGCGUGGGUAACCUGCCCUGUACAGGGGGACAACAGUUAGAAAUGACUGCUAAUACCGCAUAAGCGCACAGUACCGCAUGGUACAGUGCGAAAAACUCCGGUGGUACAGGAUGGGCCCGCGUCUGAUUAGCUAGUUGGCGGGGUAACGGCCCACCAAGGCGACGAUCAGUAGCCGGACUGAGAGGUUGACCGGCCACAUUGGGACUGAGAUACGGCCCAGACUCCUACGGGAGGCAGCAGUGGGGAAUAUUGGGCAAUGGGCGCAAGCCUGACCCAGCAACGCCGCGUGAAGGAAGAAGGCUUUCGGGUUGUAAACUUCUUUUAAGUGGGAAGAGUAGAAGACGGUACCACUUGAAUAAGCCACGGCUAACUACGUGCCAGCAGCCGCGGU